rnacentral:rRNA from 1 species
GACGGAGGUGGCAAACGUUGCUCGGAAUCACUGGGCUUAAAGGGCGUGUAGGCGGUCCAUCAAGUCGGGUGUGAAAUCCCUCGGCGCAACCGAGGAACCGCAUUCGAAACUGAUGGGCUGGAGUGCGGGAGGGGUAAGUGGAACUCCAGGUGUAGCGGUGAAAUGCGUAGAUAUCUGGAGGAACGCCGGUGGCGAAAGAGAUUUACUGGCCCGUAAAUGACGCUGAGGCGCGAAAGCUAGGGGAGCAAACAGG